rnacentral:rRNA from 1 species
UGGGGAAUAUUGGACAAUGGGCGCAAGCCUGAUCCAGCCAUACCGCGUGGGUGAAGAAGGCCUUCGGGUUGUAAAGCCCUUUUGUUGGGAAAGAAAUCCAGCUGGUUAAUACCCGGUUGGGAUGACGGUACCCAAAGAAUAAGCACCGGCUAACUUCGUGCCAGCAGCCGCGGUAAUACGAAGGGUGCAAGCGUUACUCGGAAUUACUGGGCGUAAAGCGUGCGUAGGUGGUCGUUUAAGUCUGUUGUGAAAGCCCUGGGCUCAACCUGGGAACUGCAGUGGAAACUGGACGACUAGAGUGUGGUAGAGGGUAGCGGAAUUCCUGGUGUAGCAGUGAAAUGCGUAGAGAUCAGGAGGAACAUCCAUGGCGAAGGCAGCUACCUGGACCAACACUGACACUGAGGCACGAAAGCGUGGGGAGCAAACAGG